UUGGUGGAAAGGAGACGCAAAACAUAUGUCCGCUCGCUUCUAUAAACCAAAAACCGAGCGCACACGGACAUGUGACGUCAGCGGGUCUCGGUUGUGUGCGUGUGGAGCUCUCCGGGGAAAACUGGCAGCUCUGUACGCACCUGAUAUGUGACAUGAGAAUAUACUGAUUAAUCUCGUUGAUGGCUAUAGCGAGUCGCAGGAGACUUAAUUGUUUGUAAAUAUUUUCUAAAUACUCUGUACAGCUACCAGGGCACGAAGUCCAAUCUACGAGAUGAUUAUUCGUUUUUAUACGCAUGUCAUAGAGAUUCGUCGAAUAUUAUACUUGUAAUUUUAUUCGAAGAACGCUAGCUGAUGUUUUUGUUCUUUUCAAGUGGAUUCUAAAAACUAAAUUUUUAGCUAUUAUGCAAAUUCUUGCUGUAUUCAUCAAUUUAUAAGUACGCAAAUUUGCAGGUGUAUGGACAAUUUAAAAUUAAAGAAGGAAGAUGCCACCGCUAAUAGCUACGCCUCGGAAGUUACCAAUCUUUGUGUUUCCACAAAGCAUUACAUUUUAUUUAGACGAUCAGUCCACCCACAAGCAAGUGUUAACUUUAUACAAUCCAUAUGACUUUUCUGUAAAAUUCAGAGUUUUGUGUACUGCGCCAAACAAAUAUAAAGUGGUUAACUCAGAAGGCAAAAUAAAAGCUAGCUCUUGCAUUGACAUUGUUGUCAGACAUACAGCGCUAUUAGCAAAUAACUGUAACAUAAUUGAUAAAUUCAGGAUACACAUGGAGGAAUAUCCCACUAAACAGGUAAUUGGUAAACGAGAUGUUGAAGCUAAGCUUCUCUCUGGAACUGCUGACAUAGCUGGUAGGUCAACACCAGAUCCAGAUAUGUUUCAACAACUUCCAAUAAAUGAAAGCAGACAGCAACAAUCUUAUACACUUAUAAGCCGAAAUAAAACAAUGGACAGUAAGAGGUACAAAUUAUGUAGCACUCAUUGCGGGAAUUAUAUCCAUAAUUGGACUACUCCUACCUACCGAGGGAGAGCAGAAUCAUAUAGUGCCUGAUUACCUUCAUCCCUCUGUGAAUUUUAAAUUAAUAUUUGCAUUCGUGAUAGGAUUGGUCGCAAGUAUUGUUUUGGGAUUAUAAUUGUCAGCUUUUUAUACAAAUGAUAAUUUCGUAUACAGAAUAGGACCGCGGAAUAAAAGCACAAUUAAUAAUAAGACUUCUUUACACAUCGGGCCUCCUUUCCUACAAAAUACAUGACUCUAGUCUAUAUAAUAAAUAUGUAAACGAUAAAGGAGAUAAGUAUUUAUAUCGACCAAGGUACUGAUAUGUUAGUUUAAUAAACUUAUUCUCGAGAGAAUCAUCGUACGAUAAAAUAAACGUAUAUUCUGGCUCGUGAGUAAUACAUUUCCAGGCCUACCGAGAAACCAAUGUAAUGCUACCGUUUAACUCAUGUAUAUAUAUAUUUAUAUAUAUAUAUAUAUUUAAGAAACAGAUAAAUUGUACAUUCUUUAUAUAAGACAUAAUAUAAUACAACAUAAUACAUAAGAAUGCUGUUUGUUUCGUUAUAAUUUAAAAAUUUUUACGUUAUAUAUAUAUAAAAUUGUGAUAUAUAUUUUUUUAUUCAUACUAACUACUUCUAUAUAUUUUGAGACGAUCUCAUGUAUACAGAGAUAAAUUUUCCUGUGUAAAAUCGAUUUUAGCUUUAAGUAUUAAAAACA
rnacentral:misc_RNA from 1 species